UUUUAUGGAGAGUUUGAUCCUGGCUCAGGAUGAACGCUGGCGGCGUGCCUAAUACAUGCAAGUCGAGCGAACAGACGAGGAGCUUGCUCCUCUGACGUUAGCGGCGGACGGGUGAGUAACACGUGGAUAACCUACCUAUAAGACUGGGAUAACUUCGGGAAACCGGAGCUAAUAC
rnacentral:rRNA from 1 species